rnacentral:rRNA from 1 species
GACGAACGCUGGCGGCGUGCCUAAUACAUGCAAGUCGAACGCAGUGGGGACGGGUGAGUAACACGUGGGUAACCUCCCAUCAGAGGGGAUAACCCUUGGAAACAGGUGCUAAACCGAUACUGAUGGAUGGACCCGCGGUGCAUUAGCUAGUGGGUGCGGUAACGGCUCACCAAGGCCACGAUGCAUAGCCGAGCUGGGAGGAUGAUCAGCCACACUGGGACUGAGACACGGCCCAGACUCCUACGGGAGGCAGCAGUAGGGAAUAUUGGGCAAUGGACGAAAGUCUGACCGAGCAACGCCGCGUGAGUGAAGAAGGUUUUCGGAUCGUAAAGUUCUGUUGUUAGAGAAGCGGUAUCUAACCAGAAAGCCACGGCUAACUACGUGCCAGCAGCCGCGGUAAUUC